GUGAACGCUGGCGGUAGGCCUAACACAUGCAGGUCGAACGGCAGCACAGUAAGAGCUUGCUCUUACGGGUGGCGAGUGGCGGACGGGUGAGGAAUACAUCGGAAUCUACUUUUUCGUGGGGGAUAACGUAGGGAAACUUACGCUAAUACCGCAUACGACCUACGGGUGAAAGCAGGGGACCUUCGGACCUUGCGCGAUUGAAUGAGCCGAUGUCGGAUUAGCUAGUUGGCGGGGUAAAGGCCCACCAAGGCGACGAUCCGUAGCUGGUCUGAGAGGAUGAUCAGCCACACUGGAACUGAGACACGGUCCAGACUCCUACGGGAGGCAGCAGUGGGGAAUAUUGGACAAUGGGCGCAAGCCUGAUCCAGCCAUACCGCGUGGGUGAAGAAGGCCUUCGGGUUGUAAAGCCCUUUUGUUGGGAAAGAAAAGCAGCAGGUUAAUACCCCGCUGUUCUGACGGUACCCAAAGAAUAAGCACCGGCUAACUUCGUG
rnacentral:rRNA from 1 species